rnacentral:rRNA from 1 species
GACAGAGGUGCCAAGCGUUAGGCGGAAUCACUGGGCGUAAAGGGCGCGUAGGCGGCCUUCUAAGUCGAACGUGAAAUCCCCGGGCUCAACCCGGGAACUGCGUCCGAUACUGGAAGGCUUGAAUCCGGGAGAGGGAUGCGGAAUUCCAGGUGUAGCGGUGAAAUGCGUAGAUAUCUGGAGGAACACCGGUGGCGAAGGCGGCAUCCUGGACCGGCAUUGACGCUGAGGCGCGAAAGCCAGGGGAGCAAACGGG